CGAACGGGUGAGUAAUACAUCGGAACGUGUCCAGUAGCGGGGGAUAACCUCUCGAAAGAGAGGCUAAUACCGCAUACGACCUACGGGUGAAAGAGGGGGAUCGCAAGACCUCUCACUAUUGGAGCGGCCGAUGUCGGAUUAGCUAGUUGGCGGGGUAACGGCCCACCAAGGCGACGAUCCGUAGCUGGUCUGAGAGGACGACCAGCCACACUGGAACUGAGACACGGUCCAG
rnacentral:rRNA from 1 species